CCGUGAUGACGUCAACACUGACGCGUUCAUUCAGCGUCGAGUCUUCAGAGCUGAGGUGAGUCGUUGACGCUUUUUCUCGUGUUUACACAACAAUAAAACACACUUUACAGUUUAUUAAAGCGACAAUCUGCGACUAGUUUCUGCAUUGAGUUCACCUCUAUCUGUGUGUCUGCUGACCAAAACAACACAGCAGGCAGAGAGAAGCUCUGAGAGGACAAUAUGAGCUCAAUAUGUGAAGGUGAAGGAGGAGAGUGAAGAACUGAGUGAAGAUGAGGAGAAACAUCAUGUCAAAACUGAAAUCGAAGCUCAGACAAAGACUGAAGAAGGUUUUUUAAUGAGAAGAACAGCCGUGAAAUGUUUCACCUGCACUCAGUGUGGAAAGAGUUUCAGCCAUGAAUACAAUCUCAGGCGUCACAUGAUGAUCCACACUGGAGAGAAACCUUACAAGUGUUCAUAUUGCGAGAAGAGCUUCAAUUGUUCAGGAAACCUGAAUAAUCAUGAGAGGAUCCACACGGGGGAGAAUACACACAAAUGUGAUCAGUGUGGAAA
ensembl:processed_transcript